GUGGGGAAUCUUAGACAAUGGGGGAAACCCUGAUCUAGCCAUGCCGCGUGAGCGAUGAAGGCCUUAGGGUUGUAAAGCUCUUUCAGCUGGGAAGAUAAUGACGGUACCAGCAGAAGAAGCCCCGGCUAACUCCGUGCCAGCAGCCGCGGUAAUACGGAGGGGGCUAGCGUUGUUCGGAAUUACUGGGCGUAAAGCGCACGUAGGCGGACCGGAAAGUCAGAGGUGAAAUCCCAGGGCUCAACCUUGGAACUGCCUUUGAAACUCCUGGUCUUGAGGUCGAGAGAGGUGAGUGGAAUUCCGAGUGUAGAGGUGAAAUUCGUAGAUAUUCGGAGGAACACCAGUGGCGAAGGCGGCUCACUGGCUCGAUACUGACGCUGAGGUGCGAAAGCGUGGGGAGCAAACAGGAUUAGAUACCCUAGUAGUCC
rnacentral:rRNA from 1 species